UACGGGGGGGGCAAGCGUUGUUCGGAAUUACUGGGCGUAAAGGGCGCGUAGGCGGGCUAUUAAGUUAGAUGUGAAAUCCCUGGGCUUAACCUAGGAACUGCAACUAAUACUGAUAGUCUAGAGUGCAGUAGAGGAUAGUGGAAUUUCCGGUGUAGCGGUGAAAUGCGUAGAUAUCGGAAGGAACACCAGUGGCGAAGGCGGCUAUCUGGACUGACACUGACGCUGAGGCGCGAAAGCGUGGGGAGCAAACAGG
rnacentral:rRNA from 1 species